rnacentral:rRNA from 1 species
CCCUUGUACACACCGCCCGUCACACCAUGGGAGUUGGUUCUACCUUAAGCGGAUGCGGUAACCCGAGAGGGGGCUAGUUCGCCACGGUAGGAUCAGUGACUGGGGUG